AACGAACGCUGGCGGCAUGCCUAACACAUGCAAGUCGAACGAGACCUUCGGGUCUCGUGGCGCACGGGUGCGUAACGCGUGGGAACCUGCCCUUAGGUUCGGAAUAACUCCCCGAAAGGGGUGCUAAUCCCGGAUAAUGUCUUCGGACCAAAGAUUUAUCGCCUUUGGAUGGGCCCGCGUUGGAUUAGCUAGUUGGUAGGGUAAAAGCCUACCAAGGCGACGAUCCAUAGCUGGUCUGAGAGGAUGAUCAGCCACACUGGGACUGCGACACGGCCCAGACUCCUGCGGGAGGCAGCAGUGGGGAAUAUUGGACAAUGGGCGAAAGCCUGAUCCAGCAAUGCCGCGUGAGUGAUGAAGGCCUUAGGGUUGUAAAGCUCUUUUACCCGGGAUGAUAAUGACAGUACCGGGAGAAUAGGCUCGGGCUAACUCCGUG
rnacentral:rRNA from 1 species